rnacentral:rRNA from 1 species
GACGAACGCUGGCGGCGUGCUUAACACAUGCAAGUCGAACGGAAAGGCCCCUUUGGGGGUCCUCGAGUGGCGAACGGGUGCGUAACACGUGAGUAACCUGCCCUUGACUUCGGGAUAACUUCAGGAAACUGGGGCCAAUACCGGAUAGGAAUCAUUGCUGCAUGGUGGUGGUUGGAAAGCUUCGGCGGUUUUGGAUGUACUUGCGGCGUAUCAGCUUGUUGGUGGGGCAGUGGCUUACCAUGGCUUUGACGGGUAGCCGGCCUGAGAGGGCGACCGGACACAUUGGGACUGAGAGACGGCCCGGACUCCUAAGGGAGGCGGCAGGGGGGAAUAUUGCACGAUGGGCGGAAGCCUGAUGCAGCAACGCCGCGUGCGGGAUGACGGCCUUCGGGUUGUAAGCCGAAUUCAGCAGGUGCGAAGCUUGUGGUGACGGUACCUGCAGAAGAAGCACCGGCUAACUACGUG